rnacentral:rRNA from 1 species
GACGAACGCUGGCGGCGUGCUUAACACAUGCAAGUCGAACGGAAAGGCCCUGCUUGCAGGGUGCUCGAGUGGCGAACGGGUGAGUAACACGUGGGUGAUCUGCCCCUUACUUUGGGAUAAGCCUGGGAAACUGGGUCUAAUACUGGAUAGGACCAUGCUGUAGGUGGUGUGGUGGAAAGAUUAGUUUCGGUAAGGGAUGAGCUCGCGGCCUAUCAGCUUGUUGGUGGGGUAAUGGCCUACCAAGGCGUCGACGGGUAGCCGGCCUGAGAGGGUGGACGGCCACAUUGGGACUGAGAUACGGCCCAGACUCCUACGGGAGGCAGCAGUGGGGAAUAUUGCACAAUGGGCGCAAGCCGGAUGCAGCGACGCCGCGUGGGGGAUGACGGCCCUCGGGUUGUAAACUCCUUUCAGCCAUGACGAAGCCCUUGUGGUGACGGUAGUGGUAGAAGAAGCACCGGCUAACUACGUG